AGUGAACGCUGGCGGUGGGCCUAACACAUGCAAGUCGAACGGCAGCACAGUAAGAGCUUGCUCUUACGGGUGGCGAGUGGCGGACGGGUGAGGAAUACAUCGGAAUCUACUUUUUCGUGGGGGAUAACGUAGGGAAACUUACGCUAAUACCGCAUACGACCUACGGGUGAAAGCAGGGGAUCUUCGGACCUUGCGCGAUUGAAUGAGCCGAUGUCGGAUUAGCUAGUUGGCGGGGUAAAGGCCCACCAAGGCGACGAUCCGUAGCUGGUCUGAGAGGAUGAUCAGCCACACUGGAACCGAGACACGGUCCAGACUCCUACGGGAGGCAGCAGUGGGGAAUAUUGGACAAUGGGCGCAAGCCUGAUCCAGCCAUACCGCGUGGGUGAAGAAGGCCUUCGGGUUGUAAAGCCCUUUUGUUGGGAAAGAAAAGCAGCAGGUUAAUACCCCGCUGUUCUGACGGUACCCAAAGAAUAAGCACCGGCUAACUUCGUG
rnacentral:rRNA from 1 species